UACGAAGGGGGCUAGCGUUGCUCGGAAUCACUGGGCGUAAAGCGCACGUAGGCGGUUCGUUAAGUCAGGGGUGAAAUCCUGGAGCUCAACUCCAGAACUGCCUUUGAUACUGGGGAUCUCGAGUCCGGGAGAGGUGAGUGGAACUCCGAGUGUAGAGGUGAAAUUCGUAGAUAUUCGGAAGAACACCAGUGGCGAAGGCGGCUCACUGGCCCGGUACUGACGCUGAGGUGCGAAAGCGUGGGGAGCAAACCGG
rnacentral:rRNA from 1 species